rnacentral:tRNA from 1 species
CUCCUCAUAGCUCAACAGGAUAGAGCAUCCGCCUCCUAAGCGGACGAUCGGGGUUCGAGUCCCUGUGGGGAGGCCA